UUUAAAUUUAGAGUUUGAUCCUGGCUCAGGACGAACGCUGGCGGCGUGCUUAACACAUGCAAGUCGAGCGAUGAAACUUCCUUCGGAAAGUGGAUUAGCGGCGGACGGGUGAGUAACACGUGGGUAACCUGCCUCAAAGUGGGGGAUAGCCUUCCGAAAGGAAGAUUAAUACCGCAUAAUAUAAGAGAAUCGCAUGAUUUUCUUAUCAAAGAUUUAUUGCUUUGAGAUGGACCCGCGGCGCAUUAGCUAGUUGGUAAGGUAACGGCUUACCAAGGCAACGAUGCGUAGCCGACCUGAGAGGGUGAUCGGCCACAUUGGAACUGAGACACGGUCCAGACUCCUACGGGAGGCAGCAGUGGGGAAUAUUGCGCAAUGGGGGAAACCCUGACGCAGCAACGCCGCGUGGGUGAUGAAGGUCUUCGGAUUGUAAAGCCCUGUUUUCUGGGACGAUAAUGACGGUACCAGAGGAGGAAGCCACGGCUAACUACGUGCCAGCAGCCGCGGUAAUACGUAGGUGGCGAGCGUUGUCCGGAUUUACUGGGCGUAAAGGGUGCGUAGGCGGAUGUUUAAGUGGGAUGUGAAAUCCCCGG
rnacentral:rRNA from 1 species